ACACGUAGGGGGCGAGCGUUGUCCGGAAUUACUGGGCGUAAAGGGCGCGUAGGCGGUCUAAUAAGUCAGAUGUGAAACCCCCGGGCUUAACCCUGGGCUUGCAUUUGAAACUGUUGGACUUGAGGACAGGAGAGGAAAGCGGAAUUCCCAGUGUAGCGGUGAAAUGCGUAGAUAUUGGGAGGAACACCAGUGGCGAAGGCGGCUUUCUGGACUGCCCCUGACGCUGAGGCGCGAAAGCCAGGGUAGCGAACGGGAUUAGAUACCCCGGUACCCCGGUAGUCCUGGCCGUAAACGAUGGAUACUAGGUGUGGGAGGUAUCGACCCCUUCCGUGCCGUAGCCAACGCACUAAGUAUCCCGCCUGGGGAGUACGGCCGCAAGGCUGAA
rnacentral:rRNA from 1 species